rnacentral:rRNA from 1 species
UACGUAGGGGGCGAGCGUUGUCCGGAUUUAUUGGGCGUAAAGAGCGUGUAGGCGGCCAGGCAGGUCCGUUGUGAAAACUCGAGGCUCAACCUCGAGACGUCGGCGGAAACCCUCUGGCUAGAGUCCGGAAGAGGAGAGUGGAAUUCCUGGUGUAGCGGUGAAAUGCGCAGAUAUCAGGAAGAACACCCGUGGCGAAGGCGGCUCUCUGGGACGGUACUGACGCUGAGACGCGAAAGCGUGGGGAGCAAACAGG